GGGCGGUUAGUCUAAGUAAGACCCUUGAUUUCGGCUCAAACAAUCCUGGUUAAAUUCCAUGACCACCCU
rnacentral:tRNA from 1 species